UAGCGAAAGGAGCAGGUGUUAUUCAGAUUAACUGGGCGUAAAGGGCACGUAGGUGGUUUGUUUAUGUGUAUUAUUAAAUUGUAAAGCAUAACUUUAUAACGUAUUACAGACAACAAAACUAGAGUUAGGUAGGAGGGUAUAGAAUUUCUAAUGUAAAGGUGAAAUUUGAUAAAAAUUAGAGAGAAUACCAAUGGCGUAAGCAACUAUCUGGAUCUU
rnacentral:rRNA from 1 species